CAGCAACUUUGCAAGAGCACUUGGUGGAGACAAUUUUCAUGUUUUUUCAUUCUUUAACAGAUAGAUCCAUGAAAACUUACUGUGCCAUUCCGGGUGUGAAUGUCGUAGUUACCAAGAAGACUGAACCACUGUCCCUAACCUCAAGAAGCUUACAGUCUAACAAAGGAAAUUCAAAGUAAGAAAGCAGUUAUAAUCCAGUGUGAUAGGAUGACGGCAGUAGGAAACAGGGGGGUGGGGGUUCAAGAACAUUGAAGAGAAUACGCAACUGCUCUUUGAUGUUUAAGAAGAGACCAUUUGUGCAGCCUGGAUAUUACAGGCAUAGAGUCCAAAUGUUAAAUCUAAUAUGAUGAAGUUUGAGACCAAUUUUUUUGUACAUUAAAUAUUAGUUACAUUUAAAAAGUAAAACAGUCUCAAUUUUGUAGCUCAUCUUGUUUCAUGAACUGUUUUGCUAUUUGUAUAUGUAUAAUUUUUAACCUAGAUUAUUUUUAUAUUUUGCAGUGCUGGGGAUUGAACCCAAGUCCUCACACACAUUAGGCGAGUACCCUGCCACUCAACCAUAUCUCCCCCUAUAACCUAGUUUUCUUAAAAAUUUUUAUUUGUCCUAAUCUCGUUUUAAUGAGCGUUAAGAUACAGGAUUCUGCUUUUAUUUCCUCGGUAUUAUCAUAAUAACUAUAAUGAACAUCCUUAUGUACAUCUUUUUCUCCACACUUAUUUUAGAUUCUUGGUACAGAGAUUACUGUGUCAAAAUACAUGCCAGUUUUUGCCCACUGGCUUUCCAAAUGAGCUUUACCGUUUGCACUGCCAGCAGCAAUGUCGCAAUCUGCCGGUCUCAGCCAAUCUCCCUACACUGGUUAAAUAGCACUUAGCCUUUUGGAGUGGUUGCUGAUGCUGUAAAUUUAAUGACUGUAGAUUGCACCUCCAUUCCUGUUUCUUGAAUGGAUUCGUUCAUUCAUAUAAGAAAUAUUUAUUGACCGUAAGGUAUGUGCUAGAUGCUUUGAUAGGUUUUGGGGAUAAAAAAUGGUUCGUGUGAAGCUCAUUGUCAGCUCAGCAGCAGCUCGCGGGAGUGUUUUUGUAUUAUAUAAUCAUGCUCUUUAUCCAUUUACUCAGUAACACUUUCAAGUUGUUCUUACCAGUUUAUAUGAAUUAUUUAUAUUCUAUCUCAACUCUUUGAUUUAUUUGCUGUAAAUGUUUUUUUUUCCAACACAAAAUUAGUUUCUACUUUAGUUCUGUUAUUUUAAUACAUAACUUUUUAGUUUUUAUAUUAUAGAAUCUCUGAUUUUUC
rnacentral:lncRNA from 1 species